UACGUAGGGUGCAAGCGUUAAUCGGAAUUACUGGGCGUAAAGCGUGCGCAGGCGGUGAUGUAAGACAGAUGUGAAAUCCCCGGGCUCAACCUGGGAACUGCAUUUGUGACUGCAUCGCUGGAGUGCGGCAGAGGGGGAUGGAAUUCCGCGUGUAGCAGUGAAAUGCGUAGAUGUGCGGAGGAACACCGAUGGCGAAGGCAAUCCCCUGGGCCUGCACUGACGCUCAUGCACGAAAGCGUGGGGAGCAAACAGA
rnacentral:rRNA from 1 species